rnacentral:rRNA from 1 species
GACGAACGCUGGCGGCGUGCUUAACACAUGCAAGUCGAACGGAAAGGCCCCCAUCUUGGUGGGGGUGCUCGAGUGGCGAACGGGUGAGUAACACGUGGGUGAUCUGCCCUGUACUUCGGGAUAAGCUUGGGAAACUGGGUCUAAUACCGGAUAGGACCAUGGUUUAGUGUCUCAUGGUGGAAAGAUUAUUGUUUUGGUGCAGGAUGAGCUCGCGGCCUAUCAGCUUGUUGGUGGGGUAAUGGCCUACCAAGGCGUCGACGGGUAGCCGGCCUGAGAGGGUGGACGGCCACAUUGGGACUGAGAUACGCCCCAGACUCCUACGGGAGGCAGCAGUGGGGAAUAUUGCACAAUGGGCGAAAGCCUGAUGCAGCGACGCCGCGUGGGGGAUGACGGCCUUCGGGUUGUAAACUCCUUUCGUUAGGGACGAAGCCGCACUUUUUUUGGGUGUGGUGACGGUACCUUUGUUAAGAAGCACCGGCUAACUACGUG